rnacentral:rRNA from 1 species
UACGUAGGUGGCAAGCGUUGUCCGGAUUUACUGGGCGUAAAGAGCGCGCUGGCGGUCGUUCAAGUCGCGUGUGAAAGCCCCCGGCUCAACUGGGGAGGGUCACGCGAUACUGAUCGACUCGAAGGCAGGAGAGGGUAGUGGAAUUCCCGGUGUAGUGGUGAAAUGCGUAGAUAUCGGGAGGAACACCAGUGGCGAAGGCGACUACCUGGCCUGUUUCUUGACGCUGAGGCGCGAAAGCUAGGGGAGCAAACGGG